GCCUCCUUCCCAAACACUGACCGCUCCUGUGCGAGACUUGAGAAUUCUGAGCGCUCAUGGACAUAUUAGCAUACUACAAAUAUCUAAAGGGGCUUUGAAUAUCACUGAGAAGAACGGUUCUUCUCAGGCCACUGAUUUGUGGAAGACAGCAGGCCAGCAGUCCCGUAGAAUGUUCCAGUCUGCAAAUGUCCACAAAAGACUUGCAAGCAGCAUGAAGUAGAAGAUAGAUGGACACAGAAACUAAUUAAUUUCACCACAGUGUGGAUAAAGCCGCAACCGAGGUGGAUGCAAAGCAGCUGGGAGAGAUUCAAUCAGCCUGGGAGGGCAGGAGCAACCCAGGAAGGCUUCCAGGGAAGGCCAUGAUUAAACCGAGUAUUAAAGGUUGAGAAUGAAUGUAUUCAGGUCGUCGCUGAAGAAAGAAGGAGAGCGAUUCAUAAUCGGCAAGCGUAUUUGGAGAAAUCAAUAGUCUGAGAUAAAAGAGACAGCACGCUGUUGCAGAAGAAUCGUGAUCGAUGCCGUCAAACAAAUGAGAGAACGAUCCCAAUUGCAGUUUAUCUGUGGUUCAUCUGGCUUCAUCUCACACCACCUCUGUUGACAUGGGAGGGCUACCGGCCCACAUCCGGAAAGUAUUAUGAAACCACCGGGGUUCCUCCCCUCCCUGCUCCAGGGAAGCCUGAGAGGGACCCUGCAGAUUGCAUUUGGAAUCCAUCUGCCAGGUGAACUAGACCCUUGGAGCCUCAGUUUCCUCCUCUCUGAAACAGGAACAGACACGCUUCCCUUACCUGACUCCUGGAGUCACUGUGGGAAUAAAGUCAGAGCACCAGCUACAUCGUCAUGUGACGCACCAAAACACGGAGGCCACUGUUCUUACUCAAUUCGUGGAAAUGUAACUUAUUUCCCACGCGAUGUGGAACAAAUAUUAAAAGAAAGAAGAUUCUUCUGUGUCGCCUGCUAUUGUUUUCUUGUGAUCUGGCAGCUCAGUAACUGAAUGAGAGCCCCAGGGUGAAGAAAAGCUACCAAGCUACCCAGUACCUUUCAAGCCCAGGCAGCUCAUGUGUGGCCAGAACAAUGUGCUGUUUGGGGAGGGAACACGAGGGCCUCCUUGCAGGACAAAAAUUCCCCUGUGAAUCAUACCCAGACGGAGUCUUCUUUAUUAGGGCUGUUAAAUAACAAAACCACCCUAUCCCUGAACAGCAGCAACAGCACAGUAACCGGGGAAGGUGACAGACUGACUGUGCUGUUUGGCUAGAGGGAAGGAAAGGGACAUUAACCCUCUAUGCUGCCUCCAGGAAGCCCCGUAGGAGCAUCCAACAGAGAGCCCCUGGCUGCUCCACAGAGGAAGGGCAGAGGCCUUGGCGGGCAGGGAAGUUAGGGAGUCAGCAACAAAGCCCGGCUGAGAAGUCACAUUUCUUACACUCCAAAUUUCAGCCCUGUGAAAAUGGAAUAUGUGGAAUUGCUGUUUGCAGUAACGAAACAGAGCAUUUUGAAAACACUUUUUAUAGAUUUCGGGGGUACAGGUGCAGUUGUGGUACAUGGAUAUAUUGCAUCGUGGUGAAGUUCGGGCUUUCACUGUAAGCAUCACUGGAAUAGUGUGUGUUGUACCAUUCGCUGAUUUCUCACCCCUCCACCCUCCUGUUCUGUGUCUCCAGCAUCUUUUAUUUCACUCUCGAGGUCCAGGUGUACACAUUCUUCAGCUCCCACUUAUAAGCAAGAACAAGAGGUGCUUGACUUUCUGUUCCUGUGUUGCUUCACUUAAGAUGGUGGCCUCCAGUUCCAUCCACGUUGCUGCAAAAGACAUGAUGAUUUUAUUCUUUUUUAUGCCUGCAUAGUAUUCCAUGGUCUAUGUACACCACAUUUGCUUCAUCUAAUCAGCUCUGAUGGAUACUUAGGUUGGUUCCAUGUUUUUGCCAUUGUGAAGAGUGCUGUGUUAAAUAUACAAGUAUGGGUGUCUUUUCCAUAUGAUUUAUUUCUUUUGGGUAGAUACUUUGUAGCAGAAUGGCUGGAUCGAAUGGUAGUUCUAGGUUUAGUUGUCUGAGAAACCUUCAUACUAUUUUCUAUAGAGGUUGGACUAAUUUUACGUUCCCACCAACAAUGCAAAAGUGUUCUCUUUUCUCUGUAUUCUUGUCAACAUCUGUUGUUUUUUGACAUUUUAAUAAGAGCUAUUCUGACUAGUGU
ensembl:lncRNA